rnacentral:rRNA from 1 species
UCCGUUAGGUGAACCUGCGGAGGGAUCAUU